rnacentral:rRNA from 1 species
CCCGCUGAACUUAAGCAUAUCAAUAAGCGGAGGAAAAGAAACUAACAAGGAUUCCCUUAGUAACUGCGAGUGAAGAGGGAAAAGCUCAAAUUUAAAAUCUGGCAGUGUUUCACUGUCCGAGUUGUAACCUAGAGAAGCGUCUCCUGCGCUGGACCGUGCAUAAGUCUCCUGGAAUGGAGCAUCACAGAGGGUGAGAAUCCCGUCUUUGACACGGACCACCAGUGCUUUGUGGUGCUGCCCCCAACAAGUGUAUUUGUUGGGAAUUCCACCUCUAAUCGGGGGGAAAUUCCCUUCUAAGGCUAAUUUUUGGCAAAAAACCAUUGCCAAACAAGUCCCGGGGGGAAAAAAUGAAAAAAACUUUGAAAAGAAAGUUAACCAGACUGUGAAAUUCUGGAAAGGAAACCCUUGGAGGCCGGCCCCGUUGCCGGGGAAUCACCCUCACUUUGUUGGGUGUACUUCCUGGUCGACGGGCCAACAUCAGUUUUGACUGCCAGAUAAAAGCCUGAGGAAUGUGGCAUCUUCGGGUGUGUUAUAGCCAUUGGUCGUAUAUAUCGGUUGGGACUGAGGAAAUCAGCGCGCCGCAAGGCCGGGUCUCUACCAACGUCUCGCUUAAGAUGUCUGCAUAAUGGCUUUUAGCCACCCGCCUUGGAAACGCGA